ensembl:lncRNA
UGUUUUUAUAUGUAGGCUAAUAUUGUUUAUUGUAGUCAGGUUAUCAAUAUAUUUAUUUUUUCAUUUAUUUGAAGACUUAUGUUUAGAACUAGGAUAAACCAUAUGAAAGGGAAAGCUUUCCAUAUAUGUAGCUCCACAGCUACCAUUUAGAAACACUACAUACACACAUAUAAGUGCAAACAUAUAGAAGUCCAGAACCUCUCUAAUUGAUCUUGUUAACAGCUUAUCUCUGAAUAAAGCCCUGCCUUUCCUGUCCUCUCUUAUGCCUGUAAUCAAGGCCACACAGCUUGUCUGUUUUGCAUGAAAAUGAAAUGUCUGAUGAUGCACCUCUUAAAAGCUUGUCUGAUCUGUAUGUAAAUGCUAUCUCUAAAAUAUCCGGAUCCUAUUUGUGAAGGUGACACUGGAACUUCUCAGACGUCAGAUAUGCACAUAGCCAAUCUGAGAAAAAGAAAAUCAAUGGUUAUUAGAGUUUGUCAGAAUUCUGGGUUCACUGGGAACACUAAUGCUGGAAGACUUGUUUUCUUUCUGAAUUAGGAGAAAUAGGUGAAAUCCUGAAAUCUUUUGCUGAGUGAAAAAUGUCUAAAAUUCCAAGAGUUUUUAUAAAAUUGUAACUUUUAUAUAUUUCAAUUAUUCCAAGUUAACACUGGGCUAUUGAAAACAGCUAUUCCUGGGUAAUACUUUGAGUGUUGCUCUUGUCUUGAUUAAAUGAGAAACACUCUGAAAAGCUGGUGUUACUUUUCCAGUUCAAGCUCUAUUCAAUAGUUACUGCACUUAAAACUUAUUUUAAAAGCUUAGAAAAUACAUAAAUGCUGUGCUAUAGCUGGCUGUAUUUUACACUGUGACUUGACAUGUUCUUUACAAAGCCUAUCAAGUAAUAUUUAUGACAGACCUGAAAAUAAUAUAAAAAACAUUCAAACUAAUAUAAAUGAAAAGGUGGGACAAUAUUUUUAUAUUAAAAUCUUUCUUUUGAUAUUUCCAAAGCAGAUCACAAUUUACUUUCAGCAUUUUUCUGGAUGGGACCAAUUUAAUCAAAACAGUAGCAUCUGAAGCACAACCCCCCCCUUGUUUUUAUCAAAACAUUAUUUCCCCAAGGAAAGCUGUUUUAAACACAAGCUUAUAACUAGAGUUGAAUCUUACCAAGAAUUUCAUUAUUUUAACUUUUACACAUCUCUUUGUGAGCUUAAGAUGGAGCCGCAAGGGUCAAGACCAACUAGUUCACCAUGAAUUGUCUAAGGAUUGGAUCAGGAACAGAGAGUUUCCCUGCUGCCAGGAAAGUUUGUCGAGAGAACAGGAAACGAAGAUGAAGCAGGUAGGAGCAAAUGUCUUUGUUGCAUUGGAAAAGGAUGAAAUAUUACCAGUGUUUGAUACCAUACUGCUCAAGAUUCACACAGACAUACGGCAACAUCUUCACCAGCAAUUUGGACUUGCAUUCACUGAGGUGCGAGGUUGAUGCAGCCACCAAAAAGAGGCAGUGCCCAGUCAACUCUCAUUCUAGUCCUGCUGAAGGGAGAAGUGGAAGGAGCUCUGAUGGGCUGCAGAAUGUGCUCCACACCUGGGGACCCCUCUCCAGCAAGAGUGGGAAAGGGAAAUGAGGCUUUACUGCUCUUUUGUGCACUGCAGGUUCAUUUGGCUGAGCUGCUUUGAGGUGGCUUUGUUGCUUUCUUUGAGUUUUCCAGCACAGAUUAGAGCACAUCUGAACUCAGUAGCAAAUCUUUGAAAUUAAAGGGGAAAAGCAGAAACAAUUUUUUUUUUUUGCCCAGGUAACUGGGUAAACAGCUAUUCACCAGAAUUACUGUAUGUACUGUCAGAAAAUAACCUGUUUUCAAAAGUGCAUUCAGCUGUUCAGUUCUUCAGAUUUGGGUGUCUGGUUUUUUCUCAUUCUGCUCCUCAGGAUGUGCUUUCACACGCUUUCAUGACGCUUAGCUUUUUAUGAUUCAAAUUUGAGCACUUUCUGUUUGAUGCUGUGCAUGUAUUUUAACAUACUCCAGGUAAAAUACUUUGCAGUGAAAUACCGCACUAGUCAAAUGGGCUUUUUUUUAUUAAAAAGCAUAUUUAAUUUUAAGCCUGGUGUUUUGGGCCCACUUUUCACCUUACAGUUGACUUCAGGUCUCAAAAGUCUGGUUCCAACAGAGCAAUACAUCGGCUUCUUUUCUACACAGCAUGGCUGUUGCAUGGAAAUGACAUAUUUUCCUGUUUUCACCCUUUUCCUUAAUGGAAGAUACAGUAAGAGAACACCUUCUAUAGCCUGUAUUUUUAAAAUGUCAAGAGCAGUUAGAAAAAGCACCCACUUCACUAUAAAUAUGUAUAAGGUCUGAAGUCUUCAAGUUAAUAUGUACAAAACGUGGUAGCAAUCUAGAAAUUUUCAAAAUACCAUACAGCAGACUCAAAUGGGCUUUAAAGCACUCCAGGGCUCUUGACAUUAUUGCAAUUGUUGUCAGAGAAAGACGUGACAUCUCUCGAGCAGAAUCUACAUAAUGCUCCCAAAAGGGUGGAAGGGAAGACAGCAUUUCUUUUGGAAAGACGUAAUAAUGCCUCCUGAUCUUCCUCCGAUGGGUUGCUAGUACAGCACAGGGCCAAAUGCUAAAAAAUUUAAAUCAUUACAAUUUUUGUAGAACUUUGUGCUUCCUUUGGGAGAAAGGGACCAUCUUGCCUUGUAGGGCUGGGCUAUUCACAUCUAUAAAGCACUUGAAAAUCUUACGGGAAAUUUCAUAGCAGUGCAAGGGUAGAUGUGCUCAGGAAGAUGAGCUUUUUUUCCCCACUGAGCACAGUUUUUCUAACACUGUGAAGCACCAUCUGCAUUGCAUCGUAGACUGCUUUUGAAAGAAUCACUGGCAAAAUGCAUAGGCCUUGGUUCUCACAUCUUAAAGACGAAAUUAUGGCCCGUACACUUGAACUGAAAAGCACCUAUUUAGAGCCAGUGUGAGCAGCUCACUCACCACAGGAAGGCUCAUUGAGGUCUGUGAAUAAAUGUUUCUCAAAAGGGACCAGAGAUGCCCUGUAUUCUGGUUUGAACUUUUUUCCACCAAGCCAGUAACAGUAGAUAACCAUCUUUUUUUAUCUAUUAGGUGUCAUUUAGACCUUGUACCUUUACAAAUAUGAGCUAAGCCUCUGGUUUUCCGUUAGCUUGGAAGUACAUACAGUAGUGUCAGCCUGACCGGCCAUUUUCACUUUUCUAGUGACCCAAUAAAACCAUUAGCAAAUAUGAGAAUUGCACAAAGUACUACCUGCAUGUUUCCCUUUCAGGUCUGUGUUAAUCACUUCCAUAUCAGCUCUAAGACUUCGACCCAAAUGGGUGUUGUGUAAAACAAUGUAUUUCAAACUAUGGUGAUUGAUAGUUAACCAAAAGAAAGCAAGCAUAGCAUCUUCUGAUGAAAUGAAAGGCCACUACAGCAGUUCUGUGGGGUUUGGUAGCUGCAGGACACUCCGAAGUUUUAGGAGACUUGCUGAUCAACACUGCGGCAAUGCAAGGGCAACCAAUGGGGCUUGGACUGCGAAGCCUGGAAACCUUCAGUUUUCUCUCUGGAACUCUUUAUGUCUUGAGAAAAAGUCCUGAGUGUUUUCUAUAGGCCACUUAUUAGUGCUAGCAGACUAUAUCCUCCAGAGAAAUGUACUAUAUUGCACUAUAUCCUCCAGAGAAAUGGCAAGGUAGAUAUUUAAGUCAGACAUUCUCAGUGCAGGGAAAAUAUGUUAUAGUAUUUCUAUUCUGUUUAUUGGUAACACAAGGCUAGGAAUCAGGGCUCUGAACGGUCUUUAAGAUUCAAAGUCUCAUGAGUACCAGAGAGACUUAGGCUCCCAGACACCUCAUAAAUCUGGACCACGAGUACUGUUUCCUUUCUCUUCCGGGAUGGUUGAAUCAUUUUAAACAGCAGAAGAGAAAAUAAUGAAUAACAACGUGAGACUGAUCGAGUUUAUACACAGUGCUAUCUUAGAAAUAGUAAUGCCAAAGAGCCAUUCCUCAAAUUUUUAGUGGUAACAGCUUCCACACCAAGAAAUGCUUGGAAAGACAGACAAGUGCACACUAAGGUAAAGCUAGAUGGUGAUCCUAUUUCUUGACAGCUUACUUGUUGCUUCCUUUCUGUCUUCCUUCUUCAUCUUUAUCUAUGUUGUUCAUUUGGUGUAUUCUGUUAAUUUCCCUGUCUGAAGUUCAUUUUGUCCUUUUUCACUUCCAAUCUCCAGUGUUUCUUUGUUUAUCUUCGUAACAGGUUAUUGUUUCAAGAUUGUUAGGUCUUCUCCAUUUUAUGUCCCUCCUUUAUCCUGCCAGACAUCACUAAGCUUUCCUUGUUUCAAGCAACAUUAACCUUUAGCCAUUGAUCUUGAAAUAGAAUUCAAAAAUAAAACAUCAGACUUUCUAAUUCAGUUCUCCUUACCUAAUCUAUUUCAGAUGCCAUUUCAAAGUUAAUAUUACUGCCCAUUUAAAUACAGCUUGCUGUACUGAGAGAACAACUUGCCUCCAAUCUGAGUCAUUUCUCUCUGAUGCAGAAAUUUGUUUUAUUAAAGGUAGUGUAGAAUACAUUCAGAUGUUCAUUGAGAUGAGAUCUGUUUAGCACUUAGUACGAUCAAAGCAAAUCAAUAGAGUUCUGGGUCAGCUCAGGUCUAAUUGUGGAUCAGAGCUUGCAAAUGAGCAGAUAAUGAAGGUGUCUUGGCUAAGCAAAAUACCUAUCAAUCAGUCUGGAUGCUAAACUAGUCUCCCC